CCUAGAUCACGAGAAACAAAAGGAUCUCCGCUAUAUAAAUAACGAUAAAUCCCAAUUCUUACAGAACAGCUAGCGCAGUUUCUUUUUUCCUACACUUAUUGAUUAGUUUGGUUUCUUUGUGUGUUCAUGAAACAUCGUGAUGAGAUAAGCAGACGGGCGGUCUGAAUUGAUGCCAUGUAGACGUGUCUGCCUUCGCUACAACUUUGUAGCUUCUCUGAGUAUUGUCUCUUUGUUUGGUUUAUGUGUUUAAUUGAUAUUUGCCAUGAUGAAUUUGCUUCUAUUAUGUCUGGACAUAUGAGAUUAUUCAAUCUUUGAUCUGACUGGUGCAAAAAAUUCUGAGCUACCUAUGUUUUCACUUUUGUUCUUGUCAUUGAUGUAAUCCUAAUCUGCUGUAACUAGGGUCGUGUAUAAAUUGCUACAGUAAAGGUAUUGUUAUAUCCGGAAAGUCUAGAUAGACCAUUGCCGCGUGAGCUUUUUAUUUCUUGUUA